rnacentral:rRNA from 1 species
AACGAACGCUGGCGGCAUGCCUAACACAUGCAAGUCGAACGAGAACUUCGGGUCUAUUGGCCCACGGGUGCGUAACGCGUGGGAACCUGCCCUUAGGUUCGGCAUAACUCCCCGAAAGGGGUGCUAAUACCGGAUCAUGUCUUCGGACCAAAGAUUUAUCGCCUUUGGAUGGGCCAGCGUUGGAUUAGCUGGUUGGUAGGGUAAAAGCCUACCAAGGCGACGAUCCGUAGCUGGUCUGUGAGGCUGAUCAGCCACACUGGGACUGAGACACGGCCCAGACUCCUACGGGAGGCAGCAGUGGGGAAUAGUGGAAAAUGGGCGAAAGCAUGAUCCAGCAAUGACGCGUGAGUGAUGAAGGCAUUAGGGUUGUAAAGCGCUUUUAACCGGGAUGAUAAUGACAGUACCGGGAGAAUAAGCUCCGGCUAACUCCGUG